GCGGGAGUAGCUCAGUGGUAGAGCUCCUGCCUUCCAAGCAGGAUGUCGCGGGUUCAAGUCCCGUCUCCCGCUCCA
rnacentral:tRNA from 1 species